CAACCCUCAAGCACUGCUUGGUAUUGGGUGUCACUUUUUGUGCACCUUAAAAUCAGUGGCGAGGCCCUGCAGCUUCAAGUGUAGUAAAUUUCUCGCUCCGGAGCCUGUCAGGAACACUGCCAACAACCCUCUAAUUUAUCUUAAAGG
rnacentral:misc_RNA from 1 species